CCUACGGGUGGCAGCAGUGGGGAAUAUUGCACAAUGGGGGAAACCCUGAUGCAGCGACGCCGCGUGAGUGAAGAAGUAUCUCGGUAUGUAAAGCUCUAUCAGCAGGGAAGAAAAUGACGGUACCUGACUAUGAAGCCCCGGCUAACUACGUGCCAGCAGCCGCGGUACUACGUAGGGGGCAAGCGUUAUCCGGAUUUACUGGGUGUAAAGGGGGCGUAGACGGCAGAGCAAGUCCGAAGUGAAAGCCCGCGGCCCAACUGCGGGACUGCUUUUGAAACUGCCCGGCUAGAGUGCUGGAGAGGUAGGCGGAAUUCGUGGUGUAGCGGUGAAAUGCGUAGAUAUUAGGAGGAACACCGGUGGCGAAGGCGGCAUACUGGACAGUAACUGACGUUGAGGCUCGAAAGCGUGGGGAGCAAACAGGAUUAGAUACCCGUGUAGUC
rnacentral:rRNA from 1 species